GCUAAACGGCUCGUCGAUAAUGGGCAUGUUAACGAGGUGUGCCUUGGGGUGGUCUCCUCGUUUGCCUACCCGUUGGCACACCUCGCACGUAUUACAAUAGGACCUCACAUCUGCAUGUACUCCUGGCCAGAACAAAGUAUGGGUAAUACGGUGCAGGGUACGGGUUACUGCCAAGUGCCCGGCUAAGGGAAUAUCAUGACCCACCCGGAGGAUAUCUCGCCUAUACUUGUGGGGUAUU